rnacentral:rRNA from 1 species
UACGUAGGUGGCAAGCGUUAUCCGGAAUUAUUGGGCGUAAAGAGCGCGCAGGUGGUUAAUUAAGUCUGAUGUGAAAGCCCACGGCUUAACCGUGGAGGGUCAUUGGAAACUGGUUGACUUGAGUGCAGAAGAGGGAAGUGGAAUUCCAUGUGUAGCGGUGAAAUGCGUAGAUAUCAGGGGGAACACCGGCGGCGAAGGCGGCUUACUGGACUGUAACUGACGUUGAGGCUCGAAGGCGUGGGGAGCAAACAGG